rnacentral:rRNA from 1 species
GAUGAACGCUGGCGGCGUGCCUAAUACAUGCAAGUCGAGCGAACGGACGAGAAGCUUGCCUCUCUGAUGUUAGCGGCGGACGGGUGAGUAACACGUGGAUAACCUACCUAUAAGACUGGGAUAACUUCGGGAAACCGGAGCUAAUACCGGAUAAUAUUUUGAACCGCAUGGUUCAAAAGUGAAAGACGGUCUUGCUGUCACUUAUAGAUGGAUCCGCGCUGCAUUAGCUAGUUGGUAAGGUAACGGCUUACCAAGGCAACGAUGCAUAGCCGACCUGAGAGGGCGAUCGGCCACACUGGAACUGAGACACGGUCCAGACUCCUACGGGAGGCAGCAGUAGGGAAUCUUCCGCAAUGGGCGAAAGCCUGACGGAGCAACGCCGCGUGAGUGAUGAAGGUCUUCGGAUCGUAAAACUCUGUUAUUAGGGAAGAACAUAUGUGUAAGUAACUGUGCACAUCUUGACGGUACCUAAUCAGAAAGCCACGGCUAACUACGUG